rnacentral:lncRNA from 1 species
CUUCUCCCUCAUAAUGUCCACUUACGACGCCACAGCUCCUAAGCCUUUCAGAGCAGGCUGGGACCUCUGACCACAGCUGUGGGGAGGGAGGAGUUGCCACUGUAUCUGGACCUUGUCCUCUGCCCUCUAGGGCUGCUGCCCCCAGGGCUGGACCCACCAUCCCCCACCCCUUCCUCCUGCCCCCUCCUCCGCCCACAUGCUGCCCAGCUGUCACUGCCCCUGAGCUGGGCACUCCGCCGGCCCCCAGCACUCAUGAAUCGCCAGCAUUCACACUCUGACCCCAGAGCCUUCACCUGUUCCCCUCGGUCUGAGCGUGGUCUGUGUGGGCCCAUCUGUUGUCCUCCGUCCAGGACUCAGGGCAAGAGACUGCACUUCAAAACCCCCAACUUCCACCUGCCAGGAGUGGGUGGGGAGGACUGGCUCAGAGGCAGGGUCUAAUUUGGGGGGUCCUUAUCUCCUUUCUCCUCAUCCCGGCCCACCAGCCUGUCCCAAACAGCCUACAUUCCAGCAUGAAAAAAGCAAAAACCCAGUUCUUCUAAAAGGACCUUUGCAUAUUUAUCAGCACCCCUGACUUCAUGUCAUUUAUUCAUGGCCAGCUCCUAGCCAGGGACUGCUCAGCAUGCAGGAGCAAACAGAAACAAUGCGGUGGGCACUUAAAAAUUAAUUCUUUAUUAUACAAGUAAUUUGUGAAUACACUUUCUCGAUAAAGUAAUAAAACCAUUCAUUGUAAUUCAGGCUCCAAAUCUCUAGGAUCAGUCCCCCAAAGCCAGACCUUUUCUCCUAAACACAGAGGUGACCAUUGUUAUCAGUUUGGUAUGUAUUUUUUUCAGGCGUUUUGUAUGAUAUAUAAUAUAAGCCUAUAUUUUAUAUGGCAUUAUUAGUGUUGGGUUUUGAGGGUGUGUGUGU